GGAAGAGUGCCGGAGCGGUCGAACGGGGCAGUCUCGAAAACUGUUGUGCGAGUAAUUGCACCGGGGGUUCGAAUCCCUCCUCUUCCGCCU
rnacentral:tRNA from 1 species